ACCCCAUGGGUCACCCGGCCCCGCCCUGGCUGGCAUUCUGCCCUCAGGACAUCCUCUUCAAUCCACCACAUACCACCUUACCCCUCUGCUGGCAAGAGGGGCCUGAUUCAUCCUCACGCGAAACAUUCUUUCCAGCUGAUUGAGACGGUACAGAAGAGAAACUGAAACUUCUCUGCCUUUGCACUGCCAAAGUGAAUGAGCGAUCCCUCUCAACUGACUCAAAAUGUUUACCUCACCCAGGAGGGCCCCCUAUGCCUCUCCUUUUUUCUUUUCAUCCGUAUUAUUCCUGUUGCCAAAAUCUGGACUCUAGUAAAGGCCCAGUAGUGGUGGCAACGAUAGAGCUGUGGGUCACCCUGGUGAGCUGAAAGAGCAGACAUUAAGUUCUAUGCCAGAGAACAGUGAGCCAUCCCCAAGGUCCCGCUGGAAGCCAGCUCUAAUCUGGAACUGGGAAGAACACAAGAUCGAGCUCUUCCUAGUCUCAGAGAAUCCAGGAGAGUCUUCAGGGGUCCUUCCAGACCAGGAAGACUCUCACACACUGCAGAGAAGUUGUGGCUUGUUUAGGAUUGGACCUACAUCCUGAAACGACCAGCCGCCCAACUUUCAACUCUAAGGGUUACUUAAAAAAACAAAUGCUGUGCAUUCUCAAAUAUUUUGCCUUUCUCAGGAGAGAAAUAUGAAGCUUGCAAUUAGGCAGCAAA